rnacentral:rRNA from 1 species
GAUGAACGCUGGCGGCGUGCCUAACACAUGCAAGUCUAGCGAUCUUCUUCGGAAGAGAGCGGCGGACGGGUGAGUAACGCGUGGGUAACCUGCCCAGUACACACGGAUAACAUACCGAAAGGUAUGCUAAUACGAGAUAAUAUACUUUUAUCGCAUGGUAGAAGUAUCAAAGCUUUUGCGGUACAGGAUGGACCCGCGUCUGAUUAGCUAGUUGGUAAGGUAACGGCUUACCAAGGCGACGAUCAGUAGCCGACCUGAGAGGGUGAUCGGCCACAUUGGAACUGAGACACGGUCCAAACUCCUACGGGAGGCAGCAGUGGGGAAUAUUGCACAAUGGGCGAAAGCCUGAUGCAGCAACGCCGCGUGAGCGAUGAAGGCCUUCGGGUCGUAAAGCUCUGUCCUCAAGGAAGAUAAUGACGGUACUUGAGGAGGAAGCCCCGGCUAACUACGUGCCAGCAGCCGCGGUAA